GGGAAUUCCAACCUGUGGAAUCUUGGGGGUACCCAAGGUCGGCUUCUUCGCAUUGACUGUGGAUGGUACCUGGCACAGAGCCUCUGGUGGCUCGUAGGGAGCUUGGGGGUCCGCAGGGUGAGGGCGGAGGGGAGUGUCAGUGUCAGAGUGUGAGUGGGGUACGGGCGUUCUAAACUUAGUCUUGAGGCCCUCGGGUCUCCCGUGCCGGGGAAGGGAGCUCGGGCCGCCAUGCGCGACAGGACCCACGAACUGAGGCAGGGGGAUGACAGUUCGGACGACGAGGACAAGGAGCGGGUCGCGCUGGUGGUACACCCGGGCACCGCACGGCUGGGGAGCCCGGACGAUGAGUUCUUCCAAAAGGUCCGGACAAUUCGACAGACUAUUGUCAAGCUGGAGAAUAAAGUCCGAGAGUUGGAGAAGCAGCAGGUCACCAUCCUGGCCACGCCCCUUCCCGAGGAGAGUAUGAAGCAGGACCUGCAGAACCUGCGUGAUGAGAUCAAACAGCUGGGGAGGGAGAUCCGAGCGCAGCUGAAGGCCAUAGAGCCCCAGAAGGAGGAAGCUGAUGAGAAUUAUAACUCAGUCAACACAAGGAUGAAAAAAACCCAGCAUGGGGUCCUGUCCCAGCAAUUCGUGGAGCUCAUCAACAAGUGCAACUUGAUGCAGUCGGAAUAUCGGGAGAAGAAUGUGGAGCGGAUUCGGAGGCAGCUGAAGAUCACAAAUGCUGGAAUGGUGUCUGACGAAGAGCUGGAGCAGAUGCUGGACAGUGGGCAGAGUGAGGUGUUUGUAUCCAAUAUACUGAAGGACACACAAGUGACUCGACAGGCCCUAAAUGAGAUCUCAGCCCGGCACAGUGAGAUCCAGCAGCUUGAACGCAGUAUCCGUGAACUUCAUGAGAUCUUCACUUUUCUGGCUACUGAAGUGGAGGUGCAGGGGGAGAUGAUCAACCGGAUUGAGAAAAACAUCCUGAGCUCAGCAGACUAUGUGGAACGGGGGCAGGAACAUGUCAAGAUGGCCCUGGAGAACCAGAAGAAGGCACGGAAGAAAAAAGUUUUGAUCGCCAUCUGUCUGUCUGUCACUGUCCUCAUUGUGGCAGUGAUCAUUGGUGUCUCCAUAUUGGUUUGAGAACAUCGCACGUUCUUGGUCCCUGCUGCUGAUGACGCUGCUGCUCCAAGCCGCCCUUGCCCAGCCCAUCUGGCCACAGUACCGCUUGCUUCGGCUACACACAUAUAGUUGCUGGGGUGACACGAGUCAUGGAAGGGCUGGACGUGUGUCCCUCGGUGCAGUCUCAUUCUCCGCCCCUGGGCCUGGCCUGGGGGAAGGAGCCGGGGAGUGUGGGGGGGGGGGGGGGUUAGGCCCCGAUGAUCCCUGCCUGCUCUGCCUCCAUCCAUCUGGGCUCCCGCCUGCAGCGCCUCCCGGUGGCCCUCAAGUGACCCUGGCGCUGCUGUUGCAAGGCGCCUGCGCCAGGUCCAGGUCCAAGCGUAAGCUUGGCUCUGAGUCUAGGGGGCGUGGCCUUGUGGGAAUUGGAAAAUGAUUGGCCAGCGGAACUAAAUGUUGUUCCUAAAGCGCAUCGGGAUUGGCCUGUUAGACGUCCUGGGGAAGUGAACACUGGGUAUUAAACCACAAUUAACCAAAUGCUGAUAUGGGAGGGGCCUCAGCGAGUCCUCAGUUGCACCCCAAAGUGAUUGGAUCACAGGGCGUAGGGGGCAUGAUCAAAACUCUAACAGGCCGAGGGGCACGAACUUGUGAGUCUGGCUGGGGUAGUGAGUCUGGGACUUCACUCAAGAAGGCGUGGCUGGGUCCCUCUCCCUCUUCGCUGAACUGGUCAGCUGUGCAAGUCUUGGAGGGUACCCAUGCCUCCGUCCUGCCUGAGAUCGUGUAUCCCGUGUACAGAUGAAGCCCUAGACAUCUACAGGAAAGGUGUGCAAACACAAUCUGGAUGUCGGCUCAAUGGGAAAACUGCGAGGUAGGACGGAUCCUGCCCCAGUAGAAGACUGAUUUGAAUACGGGGCCUCUGGGUUUCCCUAAUUCUCCCUCUCUUCCCCUGCGGCCUGCAUCUUCAGCGGAACUCUGUCCUGCUGUUCGCCUUUGCCCACGCACUCACCUUUCUGCCUUCAGAGGAAAACUGCACGACCUGUGGCACCUACUGGGAUCUGAUAGGAGACUAUCAGACUGUGUCACAUCUACGCAGCUGGGAAGCUGUGCAGAACCUCCUGAAAGAGGUAGCUAGAUGGCCCAGUGAGGUCUCGGAUGCUGGCCCGGUAGUUUGAACUUUUCCUGUGGGCUAGGGGACACAUGGAAGGGUUUUGAACAGAUUGAGGCUGUUCCUCCAGACUGGAUUCUGGAAGGAAAAUGAUAUAGAACAGAGCCACAGCUGUCCCAUGGAAGAUGUUGUACAACAUCCUCUGGCACUUCCCAAGUGAAGUUGGAAAUUGGCCCCUGUACACAGAGGGCAGGGGAAAUCAAACAAACAGACAGGGCCACUGCAGAUUGUUCCCCUUACGAUGCUCAUCUGGAUAACAUUCCUUGCAAGGUUACCAUGGGCCAGGUAUCAUUCUAUGCAUUUUGUGUGUACUACUCAAGUUAAGCCUCACAACUGCCUAGAAGUUUCCUAUGGACUGAAUGCGCACAUGUAUGGAGAAAGCCAUGUGAGGACAUAACAAGAAGGUGGACAUCUACAAGUCAGGAAAAUAGUCCUCACCAGGAACUGAAUUGGCCAGCAUCUUGAUCUUGGACUUCCCAGCCUCCAGAACUGUGAGAAAUAAAUUUCUGUUGUUUAAGCCCUUCA